rnacentral:rRNA from 1 species
GAUGAACGCUGGCGGCGUGCCUAAUACAUGCAAGUCGAGCGAACAGACGAGGAGCUUGCUCCUCUGACGUUAGCGGCGGACGGGUGAGUAACACGUGGAUAACCUACCUAUAAGACUGGGAUAACUUCGGGAAACCGGAGCUAAUACCGGAUAAUAUAUUGAACCGCAUGGUUCAAUAGUGAAAGUCGGUUUUGCUGUCACUUAUAGAUGGAUCCGCGCCGGAUUAGCUAGUUGGUAAGGUAACGGCUUACCAAGGCGACGAUGCGUAGCCGACCUGAGAGGGAGAUCGGACAGACGGGAACUGAGACACGGCCGAGACUCCUACGGGAGGCAGCAGUAGGGAAUCUUCCGCGAUGGGGGAGAGCCUGACGGAGCAACGCGGGGUGAGUGAUGAAGGUGUUCGGAUCGUAAAGCGCUGUUAUUAGGGAAGAACAAAUGUGUAAGUAACUAUGCACGUCUUGACGGUACCUAAUCAGAAAGCCACGGCUAACUACGUG